ensembl:snRNA U6 U6 spliceosomal RNA
GUACUCCAUGCAGCAGCACAUGUACUACAAUUGAAAAGGUACAAGUAUGAUUAAUAUGGCCCCUGAGCAAGGAUGCCAUACACCUUUGUGAAGCAUUCCACAUUAAG